GAUGAACGCUGGCGGCGUGCCUAAUACAUGCAAGUCGAGCGAACGGACGAGAAGCUUGCUUCUCUGAUGUUAGCGGCGGACGGGUGAGUAACACGUGGAUAACCUACCUAUAAGACUGGGAUAACUUCGGGAAACCGUAUCUAAUACCGGAUAAUAGUUUGAACCGCAUGGUUCAAAAGUGAAAGACGGUUUUGCUGUCACUUAUAGAUGUAUCCUCGCUGCAUUAGCUAGUUGGUAAGGUAACGGCUUACCAAGGCAACGAUGCAUAGCCGACCUGAGAGGGUGAUCGGCCACACUGGAACUGAGACACGGUCCAGACUCCUACGGGAGGCAGCAGUAGGGAAUCUUCCGCAAUGGGCGAAAGCCUGACGGAGCAACGCCGCGUGAGUGAUGAAGGUCUUCGGAUCGUAAAACUCUGUUAUUAGGGAAGAACAUAUGUGUAAGUAACUGUGCACAUCUUGACGGUACCUACUCAGAAAGCCACGGCUAACUACGUG
rnacentral:rRNA from 1 species